rnacentral:rRNA from 1 species
UAGGGAAUCUUCCGCAAUGGACGAAAGUCUGACGGAGCAACGCCGCGUGAGUGAUGAAGGUUUUCGGAUCGUAAAGCUCUGUUGUUAGGGAAGAACAAGUGCCGUUCAAAUAGGGCGGCACCUUGACGGUACCUAACCAGAAAGCCACGGCUAACUACGUGCCAGCAGCCGCGGUAAUACGUAGGUGGCAAGCGUUGUCCGGAAUUAUUGGGCGUAAAGGGCUCGCAGGCGGUAUCUUAAGUCUGAUGUGAAAGCCCCCGGCUCAACCGGGGAGGGUCAUUGGAAACUGGGGAACUUGAGUGCAGAAGAGGAGAGUGGAAUUCCACGUGUAGCGGUGAAAUGCGUAGAGAUGUGGAGGAACACCAGUGGCGAAGGCGACUCUCUGGUCUGUAACUGACGCUGAGGAGCGAAAGCGUGGGGAGCGAACA